UGCUGUGAAUUGGUUAUUUUACAUGAAUCCAUCAGGGAGCUACAACGACUCGUUUACUUGGACUUGACUUAUUGCUAUCAUCGAUCUUAAGAAACUCCCAAACAGUAUAUGCAAGUUGAAUUCUCUCAAGAAGCUUAUUCUCAAAAAUUGCAUUGCCCAUCACUCAAAAAGUUGCCUGGGUCCAUUGGUGAUCUAAAAGAAUCUUUGGUUGAGCUUUCCAUAGAGAGAACAGAUAUGGAA